UGAUAGAUUUUGUAAUUUUACAUCCAGGAUCUUCAGGAGAAUUAAGCGAAACCCAAACUCCUUGUUCUUAACGAAGACCUUCUGUAUGGCCAAGAACAUGAGUCUGCUCCCUCAAGAAGAUGAUGUAGCCCUGCAGCUGCUGCCAGUUCUCCUUCCUGCUCCACCUUACUCAUUUGGGAGAAGAGUUUCAGACCCAUCAACCUGGAAGUUCAGAAGGUUGGGACAAACCUGGUGGCGCAUCUACAAAAUGCGACAAGCCGUAUGUCCUCAUGCAGGGAGACUGGCAAAAUGCUAAAGUGUCAUUAAAAAUGCUCCUUGUUUAA